GAAGCCCCGGUAAACGGCGGCCGUAACUAUAACGGUCCUAAGGUAGCGAAAUUCCUUGUCGGGUAAGUUCCGACCUGCACGAAUGGCGUAACGACUUUCCCACUGUCUCAACCACAGACCCGGCGAAAUUGAAGUACGAGUAAAGAUGCUCGUUGGCUACAGAAGGACGGAAAGACCCCGUGGACCUUUACUAUAACUUGGUAUUGGGUUGUGGCACGUGUUGUGUAGGAUAGGUCGGAGACUAGGAAGCGUGUGCGCCAGCAUGCGUGGAGUCACCCUUGAAAUACGACCCUGCUCAUGUCGGAACUCUAACCUAGGACCCUGAUCGGGUUCGGGAACAGUGCCAGGCGGGUAGUUUGACUGGGGCGGUCGCCUCCCAAAAGGUAACGGAGGCGCCCAAAGGUUCCCUCAGACUGGUUGGCAAUCAGUCGUCGAGUGCAAUGGCACAAGGGAGCUUGACUGUGAGACAUACAGGUCGAGCAGGUGCGAAAGCAGGGCAUAGUGAUCCAGCGAUUGCGUGUGGAAGCGUCGUUGCUCAACGGAUAAAAGGUACCCCGGGGAUAACAGGCUCAUCUUCCCCAAGAGUCCAUAUCGACGGGAAGGUUUGGCACCUCGAUGUCGGCUCAUCGCAUCCUGGGGCUGAAGCAGGUCCCAAGGGUUGGGCUGUUCGCCCAUUAAAGCGGUACGCGAGCUGGGUUUAGAACGUCGUGAGACAGUUCGGUCCCUAUCCUCUGUGGCCGUAGGAGAUUUGAGGAAAGCUGUCCGUAGUACGAGAGGACCCGGAUGGACGCAGCUCUCGUGUGCCAGUUGUUCCGCCAGGAGCACGGCUGGUUGGCGACCUGCGGAAGGGAUAAGCGCUGAAAGCAUCUAAGCGCGAAGCCUGUUCCAAGAUGAGAUCUCCCACUGGUACAACCAGGUAAGGCCCGUGGCAGAUAACCACGUUGAUAGGCCGGAUGUGUACGCACAGCAAUGUGUUCAGCAGACCGGUACUAAUCGGCCGAGGGCUUGGUAUC
rnacentral:rRNA from 1 species